AGUUCCCAGGCCAGGUACUGAAUCCGAGCUGCAGCUGUAACCUAAGCUGCAGCAAGGCAAUGCCAGAUCUUUUAAUCCACUGCACUGAGCCAGGGAUCAAACUCAUACCCAUCCCAAGCUGCUGCAGUCAUCAGAUUCUUAACCCACUGUGCCACAGCAGGAACUCUGGAGUGAUGGAUUUUUGUUGUUAUAUUCCCUUAAAUAUUCUUGAACAUUGUUCUGGGAAAGUUAAGCUACUUAGAAACAAACAGGUUGAUCCUUUCAGGUCUCGCUUUUAAUGUUUGUUAGGCAGAUCCACAACGACGUUUAGUGUAGGGCUUGACCCCACAGCAAAGGAAAUACCUUUCUGAGCACCCAACUGACUGUCUUAUGUGCUAAAAGGUCUUUCCACUCUGGACGGCAGGAAGAUGACCUUGUUCUGCGUGAACUCUGCGGAUUGUUCUACCUACUUCUUCCCACGAUUCUUUCCUGGCUUCAGAAUUUUCCUUCAUACAUGCGCUGAUCAGUACUCAGCUACAGACUGGAGGGCAUCCUAUGCACAUUUCCAGAGCAUUUUCUCUCCCUCAUGUAGCUCUCUACUCUCUGGUACCCUGCCCGGUGAAUUCUAGUCACCCCAGUCUCCUCAAGCUGCAAACUCUUUCUUCUCAACUCGGGAAGUGUUGCACUACUGUCUGGAAACAUUCACCAGGCAGUGAGCUGGGCCAAUCGUAGAGCUCACUUCAUUUGUUUACCUUCUCCCAGAGAUCAUUGUCCUGCAGUGCCUAUUUUAAAAUAGCUAAACACAAUUGUUUCACAUAUCUCUGCCCUCCCCCCUUUUAAAGUUUAAUGCAGAAGGGUAAAUGCAAUCGUCAUAGCACAAUGUGAAACUCUGAUUCAGAAGAUUUAAUAUCAAGUUCAGAGAUUUGAAAUAUAAAUUCUAAGAGUUAAUGUAGAACAAUUCAUACAAACUUCUCAGCCUGACCCAGAGCCACCCAACAGCUAUGUGGACCAAGUGGAUUCAGUGUUCUUUCAUUUCCCAUAAGUUAAGAUUCAAAGUAUCCCAUUUUCAUUUCCAGAAGUUAAGAUUCAAAGUAUCAGUGUGUACUGCUGUACAUUUUCAGAUCCGAACCCAAUGCUUUGGAGAGAUUUUCUCUCUAGCUGUAUGUAUGUGUGCAUAUGCGUGUCUGUGUGAGGGGAUGUCCUGUAAAGACACAUGCAUAUAUAUUUUGCAUCCAGUUGUGUGACUGGAUUUAGGCUUAAGAUAAAAUUUAUGAGCAAACUUUGUUUAAAAUACAUAAACAGGAAAUAGCUACUUGUGAAUUCAUUAAUUAAAAUCCUGUUUAUAGAAGUAUUGUGAAGGAUAAUCCUUUGUUCACAUGAAUGAGAUCCGGUCGUCAUUAUGAAAAAUAUAGAGUGAGGUCCCAUUAAAGAACAUGUUGUAAUUUCACUGCACUGUCAGCCAAUUUCUCUCAAGAGCCCUCUGCAUUUCCCAUAUCCUAAGACAGGGUCUUACUCUCAAAGGAGCAAGCCUUUGACUGGGCUAGAGCUUUGCAUAAGAAUUAAUCACCAAUUCACUUGCCCCACCCCCCACCCCAUCCUUUCUUCCCAGUCUGUUCCUAGAGCCGCCUUGGCUGCCUGCCCAGACCCUUGACUAGUCAAAUUUGGGCCCACCUUGUUUCUCAUGCCUGGCUGAACCCAAGGCCAUCCGCCUUUCUUUGACCUUUGGGAUAAACUUUCUAGGCUCCUGUCUGCCUGUCCCACCUGGCCAUUGCUUGGCCUGAUGCCCAGCAUAUGUUAAAAGCAAAAGGCAGGAUAUAGGAAUCUACUUGCUUCCUCUGAACUAUGGAAAGGCAGCCAGCGGUCAAGAGAGAUGGAUAUAGUACGUAUUUAUAAAGUUAAAUGAACCUAGGAUGAAGCUACAAUAUUAAUGCAAUUCAACAAAACACUUCUUAAUCCAGGCACUGUGCAAAGGUCUGAAAUACAGCUGAGUAAGAUGUUGGGGGCUCACCUUCCAGUUUGGAAGACAGACAAUAAAAAGAGAUUGUAAUACAGUAUAUGAGAGAACCACAGCUUCUCCUUGCCUGUCUAGUUUCAAACUCUCUACUUUUAUUUACAUAUAUGUUCAAAAAACAGACUGUUAUGCUAGAUGACAAUGACACCAAGUCAGACUGAUUUCCACAAACAGUUUAUAUGUCUGUUUUUCUGACUAAAUUAAAAUUCCCCAAGGACAGGAGCCAUGUCUUAUUCCUCUUGCCACUCCCAGUGACUAACUUAAAUUCUUCUUGAAUUAAAGUAUAUGCAGCUCACAUAUAUAAGGGUCUACGAUAAAGUAAUACAUUCAUUAUACAAGAAACACAUAAUAAAUUAAAGAACCUUUUGAUAAGUAGUAAUAAUUCUAGUUAUCUAAGAAAAUAUAGUUAUAACUCACAAUGUUAAUAGGUUAAUUAACUAAAUGGUUAAAAGGUUAAUAAAGAAAUUGUUACUAAAGAAAUUCACCUUACCUAAGCUUUAUCUGUGGUAUAUAUGAGUGUAGAAAGGUUAUGUCCACACAUAAGCAGCCAAGGCACUAAUGGCACCAGGCAUUUGGGGGACUGACAAGAUGGUAGCUAAAUUCAUAUUUUCAAACAAGAAAAACUCUAGAUCCUGCCAUUGUUGCUUUUCUUUUUUGUAUUUUGUCCACUGCUUUCAUCUACCACACCUUUACUCUGUAUAAAGUUGCCUGAAAGAGAGAAGACAACGCCACAUAGUUUAAUGCCUAAGAAGAGGUAAUAAGGGCUUAGCUAGCAGCCAAGGAGGGGCAGGAGGUGGAAGGAGGAGUCCAGCUAACCAUGUUGGGUAGGAUUCUUCCAAGUGACAAAAAGCCAGACUCAAAGUGCUAGAAUAAUAUACAAAAAAUAAAGGAAAACUGUUUAUGCUUCAGGUACAGCUAGAUCGGGGCUCAAACACCAUCAUCAGAACCCUGACUCUCCACCUCGUGGGUCCUGCUCUCUUCAUGUUGGCUUCAUUCUAGGCAUUCGUUCAGUUCAUUGAAUAAUUCUACCUUUGGCAGAAGCUGAUUGUAGUAACAAUUUGCCAGAAACCUAAUACUGUAUUUAUAGUGAAUAAAGGAUGAAUGAAUUGUUUAGUCCCUCUCUGCUUUGGUAAUAUAAUUUCAAGCUGUAAUGUCAAACUCACUGACAAAAAUAUUAAAAUAUAACCUAACCAGAGAGGGGCAGUUCCUUUUAUCUCAGCAGUUUCUAAAUUCAAUGGUAUCUUCAAGUCUCAUAAAAACAUACUAUGUUAAACAAAAAUGAAAGACACAGUUCUGCAGGUCUGUUGAUGGAUGUGAACCUUGAUAAAGGGUACUUAUUCAGUUUAUCUCUCAAAGUCCAUGAUGGGAUUUAUAAUCCAGUUUUUAAUCACCUUUUAUGUCCUCAAUGCCCAUUUGUCAUGGUAAAAUAAUAGCAUUUACUUCUGGCCUUUGUCACUGCAUUGGUCUGUCUUGGCACAUACAAUGUUUCAAGAUAAUAUUGUGUUUUAAUCAAGCACAGCGCUUGGUUCAAAGUAGGUGGGUAGUGGAGUUCCCACCAUGGCUCAGCGGUAACAAGCCCAACUAGUAUCCAUGAGGAAAUGGGUUUGAUCCCUGGCCUCGCUCGGUGGGUUAAGGAUCCCGAGUUGCUGUGAGCUAUGGUGUAGAUUGCAGAUAUGGCUCAGAUCUGGUGUUGCUGUGGCUGUGGUGUAGGCCGGCAGCUGCAGCUCCAACUGGACCUCUAGCCUGGGAACUUCCAUAUGUCUCAGAUGCAGCCCUAAAAAGAGUAAAAAAAAAAAAAAAAAAAAAAAAAGUAGAUGGGUAGUAAGUGUAUUUUAAAUGAAUGGCCUCCAUCUUCAACAAUCUGUCAGUCCAGUGUUUUGCUGACUCUACCAGUCCCUACACACCUGCUUGCUAUCUCAUUCACACAGCACAGCGCCUGUAUCUGUCAAGAUUCUGGAUCAUAACCACGGUAUGUGUGUGUUAAUUAAGGUAUACCUUACAUAUGGUAAAGUACAUUAAUCUCAAGUGCUCAAGUAUACAGUUUGACAAAUUUUUGUGUGACCCUCAACCAGUUCAGUAAAUAAAGCUUUUCCAGAAGUUUCCUCACGCCCCCUUCCAGUCAGUCCCCACCCAAGAUGACGGCUAUCUGACCUCUAUCACUGCCUGGUUUCUAACUACAUAUAAAUAAAAUCAUACACUGCAUUAGCUGUCUUUGCUGGAUAACAAACCACCCCCAAACUUAGCUCUUUAAAACAACCACCAUUUUAUUUGCUCAUAAUUCUUUUGCUCAUUCCACUGUGGGUCACUCAUGUGGCUAUAGUCAUCUGGCAACUCGAUUUGGCGUUUCAUGGUCUAACAGGGCCCAAAUAAAUGUCUGGUGGUUUCUGCUGACUAGGACUGGAAUACAUGCGUCUGGCAGGACAGCCUGGGCCUUAUCACAUGGCAUCCGUGUUCCAAGAGGGUAAGAGCCACAAGCCUCUAUGGCUCAGGUUGCAAAGGCACAAGGGUCACUCCUCUCACAUUCAAUGGGUCAGAGAAAGUCAUAAUAGCAACUGAUAUUCAAGGGAGGAAUAAAUGGACUCUGUCUCCUGUUGAGAGCAGCUGGAAAAAAUAUGUGCCCAUUUUCCAUUUACCACAUACAACAUGUAACUCUUUUAUGUCUGAUUUUUUCACUUCACAUUACAUCUAGGAGAGACAUACACGAUAUUGUGUGUAUUGUUUGUUCUUUUUUCUUGCUGUGCACUCCUAGACAUG
rnacentral:lncRNA from 1 species